GAUGAACGCUGGCGGCGUGCCUAAUACAUGCAAGUCGAGCGAACAGACGAGGAUCUUGCUCCUCUGACGUUAGCGGCGGACGGGUGAGUAACACGUGGAUAACCUACCUAUAAGACUGGGAUAACUUCGGGAAACCGGAGCUAAUACCGGAUAAUAUAUUGAACCGCAUGGUUCAAUAGUGAAAGACGGUUUUGCUGUCACUUAUAGAUGGAUCCGCGCCGCAUUAGCUAGUUGGUAAGGUAACGGCUUACCAAGGCAACGAUGCGUAGCCGACCUGAGAGGGUGAUCGGCCACACUGGAACUGAGACACGGUCCAGACUCCUACGGGAGGCAGCAGUAGGGAAUCUUCCGCAAUGGGCGAAAGCCUGACGGAGCAACGCCGCGUGAAUGAUGAAGGUCUUCGGAUCGUAAAACUCUUUUAUUAGGGAAGAACAAAUGUGUAAGUAACUAUGCACGUCUUGACGGUACCUAAUCAGAAAGCCACGGCUAACUACGUG
rnacentral:rRNA from 1 species